GCUCAGGAUGAACGCUGGCGGCGUGCUUAACACAUGCAAGUCGAGCGAAGCGGUUUGAAGGAAGUUUUCGGAUGGAAUUCAAAUUGACUGAGCGGCGGACGGGUGAGUAACGCGUGGAUAACCUGCCUCACACAGGGGGAUAACAGUUAGAAAUGACUGCUAAUACCGCAUAAGCGCACGGCAUCGCAUGAUACAGUGUGAAAAACUCCGGUGGUGUGAGAUGGAUCCGCGUCUGAUUAGGUAGUUGGUGAGGUAACGGCCCACCAAGCCGACGAUCAGUAGCCGACCUGAGAGGGUGACCGGCCACAUUGGGACUGAGACACGGCCCAAACUCCUACGGGAGGCAGCAGUA
rnacentral:rRNA from 1 species